rnacentral:rRNA from 1 species
GAUGAACGCUAGCUACAGGCUUAACACAUGCAAGUCGAGGGGUAACGAGAGGAAAGCUUGCUUUCCUUGUCGACGACCGGCGCACGGGUGAGUAACGCGUAUCCAACCUGCCCCCAACUAGGGAAUAACCUUGCGAAAGUAAGACUAAUACCCUAUAAUUUCCUCAGAUGUCAUCUGACGAGGAAUAAAGAUUUAUCGGUUGUGGAUGGGGAUGCGUCUGAUUAGCUUGUUGGCGGGGUAACGGCCCACCAAGGCAACGAUCAGUAGGGGUUCUGAGAGGAGGGUCCCGCAAAUUGGAACUGAGAGACGGUCCAAACUCCUACGGGAGGCAGCAGUGAGGAAUAUUGGUCAAGGGGCGGAAGCCUGAACCAGCCAAGUAGCGUGCAGGAUGACGGCCCUAUGGGUUGUAAACUGCUUUUAUACAGGAAUAAAGUUAGCCACGUGUGGUUAUUUGUAGGUACUGUAUGAAUAAGGACCGGCUAAUUCCGUGCCAGCAGCCGCCGUAA